ensembl:lncRNA
GACUGGGAGCAGGUGAGGAGCUCGAUAAUAACCAGAAAAGGAGAGUUGUGGGCCAUUCCUUUAGACCAGUGGCUGCAGUCUGACCAUGUGAAGGACUGGGAGCAGGUGAGGAGCUCGAUAAUAACCAGAAAAGGAGAGUUGUGGGCCAUUCCUUUAGACCAGUGGCUGCAGUCUGACCAUGUGAAGGACUGGGAGCAGGUGAGGAGCUCGAUAAUAACCAGAAAAGGAGAGUUGUGGGCCAUUCCUUUAGACCAGUGGCUGCAGUCUGACCAUGUGAAGUGCAUUUGCUUCUACAAAAUUCCUACCGGCAUCCGUGUCUUCUUAUGAUGGCUAAACUGAGAAAGCUAAUGAACAACUUAGUCAGCAUCUGGUGUUAAUGUAAGAGCAAAUAGGUAAAGAGUAUCAGCCUAAUGGGUCCUUUUAUAGGUAAGUUUCAUAAGCAUUUAGUGCAUGGAUUCAGGUAGCUUAUAUCCUCACCAGGUAAUUUGCCUUGUUUCACGGAUCUUCCCAGUGUUCUAGACAGUUAAGAUGGCCAGGUGAGUGACCCCCAGAUAAAAGAGGAUUUGCUGUAUUUGUCUUUUACUAUUAAUGUACCCCAAGUGGAUAAUCGUUGUGCAGCAGCUCCAUUUACUUGUCUAUACAAGCUAAAUGCUCUAUCGUAAUUACCCUUCAAAACAAGCACCUACAUCUGAUGAGGGGCCCACACAAGUGACACUGAAGGGGUACAAUUCUCAUUCCUCUGAUGCAUCUGUCAGUGACAAUCAUCUUUCUGAGAAUGAUGGAUGAUACAAACAGUGGACUCCAAAAAGACCCCUGAGCUUUCAGUGGUCCUGACCCUUUAACUAAAAUAGGAAGCUCUUUGCUCAGAAGGAGAAUUGACUCAGUGUUGGAUCCAAGCUAAAAAUGGCUGGGCUGUAACAGGUGAUUUUUGUGAGUUAUAGUGAAAAGUCACCAGAGUCUGGGCAUCUGUGGACAUAACUAAGAUGACAAGAAGACAAACAUUGAACUGAGGAGCUUGCUGCCACGUUAGUAAGGGAUUCAAUUAAAAACAUCUUAUCAAAUUAAAAGUAUUACAGAGGACGCAGUGAGUUCCGGAAAGCAUGCUAGACACAUCAAUCACAGGAACGGAACAGCCCAGGUCUGGUUCCUGCAGGAAGGUUCUGUGGGAACAGAGACACGUUGCUCUGUAGGCACGAAUCCCUGGGACGUUCUUGAAAUUAGGCUGCAUUUUCCCUGCCAAGUCGUUGAAAAUGAACUUUAGGCUGUCGAGGCUUAACCGGGAAAUAUUUGUCUUUUUAACAUUUUUAGAGAGGAGGUGAUAAUUUGUGAAAUGAUUGUUAGAAGACCAGAUAAUUUUUGCUGUUCUUGUUGUUGGCUCUCAAAAUUAUAACUUUCCCACACUGCCUGGCCACCUCCCUGUCCUCCAGAAGAAGUGGGUAACAGUUGGGACAUUUUUUUUCUGGUAAUGACAUUUUAAGGCUAUUUGUCAUCUCCUAGAAUACUCUGCCCGUUUUUCUCUUCAGCUCUUCAAAGACGUUAGGCCAGAAUCUUAAAAGAGGUCAAAGAUAGAAUAGAUUCUGAAUUAGUGAUUUUGAUUCAGGCAGGGAAGUUCUUAAAAAGGGUGUGUCAAAAAGCAUGUAUGCUUUAUAGUAUGAUGCCUAAAACACGGGGCAUCAUACUAUGGGGGCUGGAAAUCCUACAAGCUGUGUUAUCAAGCACAUGUGUAAAUAUUGCCAAUGGUCAAGAUUUCAGAGAAAACAAAUUCAGUAUCAGGUUGAAGAGCUUACAUAUUUAUGAUACCUUAUGAGAGGGAAGACAACUUGAAGAUGGUUUUAUCACCAAGAAAAUCGUGAAUCAGGGACAGUGGUCGAUGUGUGUCUCUGUGUGAAAUUGGACUAUUUAGCUAAGUGUGUUGAAGUGCUGAUGAUCUAGGGUUUUAAUUAUGACAUUUGAGGUAGAAUUCAUUUACUCAUUUUCCAUUCAAUUCAGCACGUGUUGAGCAUCUAAUGGGUACCAAGCAUGAGUUAGACACUGAAGAAUCACAGACAAAUAAAUAUUUUCCCCACUCUCAAAAUAGUCACAAUCUGAAUGGUGAAAGAUACAAAGAAUACUUUUUCUACAUUGUACCCAGGCAGGAAAAGAUACAAGAGUUAUGAAAUCAUAGAAAAAGAAGUCACUAACUGCUUUGUGAGAGUCCAGAGAAGGCUUUGCAUGCUGAGUUGUCAAGUAAGACCUGGUGUGCAUCAAGUUCAAGGGUUGCCAUGUACUCCCUGGAUGUGUGGACAAAAGUGACAGGGUCUCUAGCCAGAAAAGUAGGCAGCAACUGGAUUGAGUACACGUUUACCAAAUGAUAAAGUGUGAAAAUUAAUCUAUCAAGAUGGAGAGCUGUGUAAUUUUUCAAAGCACAAGAAGGAAAUGAUCCAGUUGUAAAGAUCAGGCUGGCAGCAGAGAAAAGCAUGGAUUGGGGAAGAGCAGUGUUCAGAGGUGAGCAGUCCUUAACCACACAGACGGUAAGAUGUGACGACAACGUGCUAAUGGAAUGAAGGAGUCGGAGAUUUCUGAAAAGUACCGUACUUGAUGACUAAUUGGACUUGUGGGGAAAUGGAGAGAGGGCCACCUAGGAAGUCUGAUAGGCUUCGGUGUAAGUAACAGCAUUAGCUGACGUAAGAACAGAGGAGAAUGAAGGUAAUGAAAACAAUUUACAUGUAUUGAUGGCUCGCUGGGAUCAGACGUUAUACCAACCUCUUUCCAUGGAUUAUCUUAUUUCGUCCAAAUGAUAACCCAUGGAAGGAGGCAAUAUUAACAUUCGCAUUUUACACAGGAAAAACCAAGUUAGAAAAGUUAAGCAACGUUUACUGAUCAUACAACUGUUAAAUGGCAGAAAGAGCAAAAAGAUGCCUGCCUUUGUUCUGUAGUUACAUGAAAUCAUAACGGCUAAUACUGGACUCAUCAUUCUUCCCUUCUGUCUCUCUCUUCACUGGGAUAAAAACUUCUUAAGGAAAAGAUCGUAUCCCAUAUGGUGUGCAUCUUUCUAAUAUCUAGUAAAUGACUACUGCACAGUAGGUACAAAAUAAGUUUAUGCUUUGGGACAUGAUUAAACCUGGGAUACAGAGCUGGUGGCACCACUGCCAUAAACCACAGUGUUAUUACUUAUUGGUAGCUUUCCCUUAAAUUCCUUAUUCAUUCAUAAUUCAUAUGACAUAGAACACAAUCAAUACUGACAACUGCCUAUAAAGUGCCACGGAACCUCAAAAGAGCCCAUGUUGUUUAUCGAGCUAUUGUCUCUGGGAUCCAAACCCAGCCCACACCUUGAUGCUGGGCCUGGCCUAUGAAAGUUCACUGUCCCUUUGCCAGCUGCUCCCCGGAGGUUCGGCCAUGAGGGGUACAAGGGGAAGGCAGGAAGAAGAGGAGGGACUCACCCACCCUACUCUGCUUCCUUUUAUGUCUGUGUCACCCGACAGUGGACAAGGGUUCUUCAUCUGGGCAGCGCUGGUUGGUUUCACCUUUCACUUUUCCCAACACCAUCCAGUUGCCCCCGAGAAGGCCCGGGUCCCAGACACACUUCUAUCCAAGCUUCCUCCGAGGGGCUUCUGGAAUUCUCCCUCAAUAACUCUGUGAGACCUCACUGUUCCCCUUUGCCUUUUAGUCUUCCAAGACCUGUAUGACCAAUUCAUUAUAUUAAAAUUCUCUCUGCUAAAAUAACUGGCUUCAUUUCCAUUUUCCUGACUAGAUUGUGGCUGAAAGUGUCAGGUGUUUAUUUCCCCCUUUAGAGCUGAAGGAGGGAACUUUCAAAUUUUCUAGCAGAAAAUUCUCCCAGGGAGGGUGGCAGGCUUCCCCUUCCCAUCCAUUUAGAGAGGGUUGCCUGGGUAACCCCUGCAUAACAGGGUUGCAAAUAGCAAGAGAGGAGGCAUCACCAAUCAGGCCAUUAAGGAUCAGGUCUGUUGCUGCUCCUUCCUGAGCAAGUUUACUGCUCUCCUGUCCUGAACAUCAGAGAAGAAGAGUUAAAGAGAAACUGGAUCUUUUUCCUGACAAUUUUUUAUUAUUACAAUAGUAAAUUUCCCUAGUUUGUUACUUUUGUGACUAGCUGUUCAACUCUGUCCUAAGUGAUCUAAUAGGAAUUGGGCCCCAAAAUGAUUCCUGAGUCAAGGACUCUGGUUAUAAGGGGAUUGUAUAAGCACAGAUUUUUAAAUUAAUUUUCUUAAAUAUAAUUGAUUCUAUGAUCGCUAAUAUUUUCCCCCCAAAAAACAGAAAACCGGUCUGUUCCAAAAUUCCAGAGAGCAUCGCACAGUGUGUCAUGAUUCUCUGUUUUGUUUCAGCUAAUUGGUAGUUCUCACCGUGUUUGGCACCAGCUGACAAAUGGCAAGCCAGAAUAAACUACUGUUUAAACGCCAGAAGAAUCCCUUAAAGGGUUUUUAGCCUUUUAAAAAAAGAAAAUCACCUUUGGUCCUGCUCCAUAGGGCUGGGCAUCUGAGUUGCUGCAUCAGAGCAUCUGUAGGCCUCAUCCUGGGAGUUACUGGGUAGAGGCAUGGGGGGUGGAGAAGAGGGAAAGCACUCAGAGUUGGCCAUUUUCAUGCGUUUGGAGGAUGAAGGGUCACAUGAGUUGCAUCACCACAGUUAGACUAUAAGUCAGGCUAUGUCAGGGGUUGCAUACAUAUAUACGCAAAGAAGAAUCAAUCCUCUCACUGGACUGCAUGUCAGUAUUAUGACACAGUGUGAGUGUGUUUUUGUUUGGUAAUUGCAAUCAUUGUUGCUUUUGUUGUGGUCAUCCAUUUACAAUGCUUGGUGUCAGUCUAUUUAUCUCUUGUAAAAAUAAAAUACAGUGUGUGUGUGUGUGUGUGUGUGUGACAAAAAAAAGAAAAAAACAAAAAACACCAUGCUUUGAGCCCCAACUCC